AGUGUAAUUGCUGGAUUGUAUGGUAGCUCUAUCUUUAACUUUUUGAGGAAUCUCCAGACUGUUUUCCAAAGUGGCUGUACCAGUUUGCAUUCCCACCAGCAGU
rnacentral:pre_miRNA from 1 species